UACGUAGGUGGCAAGCGUUGUUCGGAAUUAUUGGGCGUAAAGGGCUCGUAGGCGGUUUGUCGCGUCGGGAGUGAAAACACACAGCUUAACUGUGUGCUUGCUUCCGAUACGGGCAGACUAGAGGUAUGCAGGGGAGAACGGAAUUCCUGGUGUAGCGGUGAAAUGCGCAGAUAUCAGGAGGAACACCGGUGGCGAAGGCGGUUCUCUGGGCAUUACCUGACGCUGAGGAGCGAAAGUGUGGGGAGCGAACAGG
rnacentral:rRNA from 1 species